AUUGAACGCUGGCGGCAGGCCUAACACAUGCAAGUCGAACGAGUGGCGGACGGGUGAGUAAUGUCUGGGAAACUGCCUGAUGGAGGGGGAUAACUACUGGAAACGGUAGCUAAUACCGCAUACCAUCAGAUGUGCCCAGAUGGGAUUAGCUUGUUGGUGGGGUAACGGCUCACCAAGGCGACGAUCCCUAGCUGGUCUGAGAGGAUGACCAGCCACACUGGAAAGGAGACGCGGUCCGGACACCUACGGGAGGCAGCAUGGGGGAAGAUUGCACAAUGGGCGCAAGCCUGAUGCAGCCAUGCCGCGUUUAUGAAGAAGGCCUUCGGUUUGAAAAGUACUUGCAGCGGGGAGGCGUUACCCGCAGAAGAAGCACCGGCUAACUCGGGGCAAGCAGCCGCGGUAAUAC
rnacentral:rRNA from 1 species